rnacentral:lncRNA from 10 species
GUCUGUGGGUUUCCCUAUCAAGCUGGUCUUUCUGUAAUAAGCAGGGAGACAAAGGAUUUUGGGGUCCCCACUAUGAUGUAAACCCUGUGCUGGGUGGGGUAGGGGUUCAGAAGCAGAAGUUGUGUUUUCAGCCUCAGGGAGCUCUAGUGGAGAGACAAGAUUCGUGCAUGAAAUAAUUACGACUGUUGUAGAAAAAAGAAAAGCCUGUAGGUCUCCCUUCCUCCCUCCUUCUCUCUGUCUACCUCAGCAUUUCUGGGGUUCACUCUGCUCUGGGUACUGUGUAAAGGACUCCACAGCCAUCAACUUCCCUUCAUCCUUGCCGUGUCUUUGAAAGAGCUGAGAUUUCUUUACAUCACAGUGGUUCAAGGAGAAAAACACAGCCAGAUCCUUCCUCAUCUCAACAUAAAUUAAACCCAGAGGCAGUCAGCGCCACAGUCCACACUCGUAACCGUUACACUCACCUGGAAAUAAAAGUAUUUUUGUGCGGGGACUGCAAGGACUAAGCCCGGCCGCACUCCGAGUUUCUCCUCCUCACAGUUAAUUGUUUUCUUGGCACUCUCUCCCUUCUCACCUGUGACUACCUGAGUGUCCCCAGAGGCAAGGAACUAUGUGAGCCACUCCAGUGUUCCCAGCCCCAAGGCCAGGCACAGUGGACAUUUAUUGCUGAAUGAAUGAAUCAAGAGAGAGGAUCAGAAAGCUGCAGAGGAUGAUAGAUCUGCAAAAUUCUCCCUGGGUGAGGCCCAGGCUCAGCUUCCAGAACAGCUCCAUCUGUCUCCCACUCACUGAGAUUGAACUAAUGUCCCACAGUUGGACAGACCUGAAAUUGAGCUCUGUGAUUUUGGAUGUGCCUUUUGCCUUCCACGGUGAUUGUGAGGCCUCUCAAGCCACGUGGAACUGUGAGUCCAUUAAACCUCUUUUUCUUUAUAAAUUACCCAGUCUUGGGUAGUCUUUAUCUGCAGCGUGAAAACAGACUAAUACAAUAGUGGACCCUGAGUUUUAGGCAUUCUAGAAAUCUGUUGGGAACCGAGAGAGAGAGAAAUCAAUCAUUCAGUCAACCAUCCAACAAACGAAUUAGUCAAUCUAGAGAAGAGAGAGGGAAGAGGAGUGGGGUGGAGACAAGGAAGAAGGUAAAAUAGAAGAGAUGGAGGAGAGAUUGAGAAUGGAGACGAGGAGUGAGAAGAGAAAGAGGGAGAGAACAGAUAGCGAGAGACAGAGAGAGGAGAGACUGCUGAACGUGGGGAUGCGGUGGUUCUUGGGGGACAGCCCUGAAUAACAGCAUUGUAGGCAUUUGACAGAAAGGGCCUAGUUGUCCCAGCUAUUCUUGGAGAGGGCCUGAGGGGUCACACAUGAGCACAGCUUACAGGUGGUGCAGGUGUUGAGAGAGGUGGUCAUUCUCCUGAUAGCCAUCAUCUUAUAGUUUGUUGUUGUUGUUUAAGAUGGAGUCUCAAUAUGCUGCCCAGGCUGGAGUGUGGUGGUGCCAACAUAGCUCAUUGCAGCCUUGAACACCCAGGCUCAAGUGAUCCUCCUAUCUCAGCCUCCCAAGUAGCUGGGACUACAGGUGCUCCAUUAAAUCAGGAACCUUGUUGCUUCUGGUAUCUGGGGUGUCCCACCGCUACCCCCAUGUGAGUGCCUGGCACAUAUAGAUACUUGAUACCUGCUUGCUGAAUAAAUGAAUAAGUGCAACUUGACUGGAUGAUGAGAGGCACAGCUGAGUCCGGAGCAGACUGAGCCACCUAAGAGGGGAGGAACCGCUGCAGAGAAACCGUGUUAAGCCUUUUUGAAGUUCCAGAGGGAGAACAAGAGAGCGGAGGCUCCUGGUGGCUGGUGACAGCUGCUCUUGGCUGGGAGAGCAGAGAACAGGGGACAGGAGAGAAGCCCCGAGAGUACUGAAGCUGAGGCUGGGGCGGUCUUCACUUCCCUCUUUCCUCGGCCCUUUUCCUGUUCUCUUGUCUUGUCUCUCUUUCUCUACUUUCCUUCUCCCUAGCCCAGUCUCUCACCGCUCUUCAGCCUCUGGGCCUUUCCUUCUUCCUCUCUUGCCCUCAUUCUUCCUUCUCUGUCCCUCUUGUCUUCUCUUUUACCUCUUCUCUUCUUCCCUCCUUCCUACAGCUAUGCCCUCUUCCCUCCUUUCUCUUGUCCCCAACCAGGGCAUUAGAAAUGCAUUCCAGUUACACUGAUCUGAUCACUGCAUAUUGUAUGCAUGCAUCAAAAUAUCACAUGUACCCCAGAAAUAUGUAAAUUACUGCAUAUCAAUAAAAAGAAAUGUAGCUUCUUUGCCUCACAUACAGAAAAGCCAAUCUGAAGUAUAAAUAAAUAAACAAACAAAUAAAUAAAACGAACCACACUGGCCCCCCCGCCGCCUCCCAGCCAUCAUCUGGGCCUGCCACUAUUUGCUCAGGGUAUCUAAACAUCAGCCAAAAUCAAAGAAAAAGUUUUAAAAUCUAUUGUUAAAAAUUUCCAAGGCUAAGUUGACAUGCAUGUACAAUAGCAUUUCCCAAACUGUGACUUAAUAAACUCCAAGCCUUCAAGUUGGGAGAGGUGGUUCCAUGAUACCGUUAAAAGCACAGACUGAAGCCCAUCUGCCUGGGUUUAAAUCCUUGCUCUGCAGCAUGAUAGUUAUGUGACC